GCGUCGGUAGUGUAACGCUUAGCACGCGCUCCGGGAAAGAGUGAGGUCUGAGUUCGAAUCCCGACUGGCGCA